rnacentral:rRNA from 1 species
GUUUAUCAAAACACAUUUUCUUUAAUUAUUAAAGAUAUUCCCUGCUCACUGUUUAUAUAGAGAGCUGCAGUAUCCUGACUGUGCUAAGGUAGCAUAAUAAUUUGUUUUUUAAUUGAAAACUGGUAUGAAAGGGUUAACGAAAUUAUAACUUUCUUAACUAAUUAAAUAAAAUUUUAUUUUUAAGUGAAAAAGCUUAAAUAAUUUUAAAAGACGAGAAGACCCCUAGAAUUGAUGUUGUAGUCUGUUUAAUUUAUAUUAUGAAAUAUUUAUGCAAGUAGAACUUAGCUGGGGCGGUUAGUAAGUAUAGUAACCUUAUGAAUUAUAAACUAUAAUAGAAAAUUUGAAGUUUAAAUAAUUUAUUUGAAAAUUACCUUGGGGAUANCAGCGUAAUUUUAGUUUAAAGUUCUUAUAUUAACUGAAGUUUGCGACCUC